ensembl:lncRNA
CAGUUAAAUAGAUUUCACAGAGUAGAUGAUGCUACUAUUUUUCUCACCAGGAAAGUUUUGUUUUGACAUAUGGCAUGCAUAGCAAUUAUCCUCCCGGAUUAAUAGCCUAUGUGAGUAUCAUGGCUACUUAGGUUAUGUAACCCUUUGCCUUCUGAAUAGUUCAGAUAUUUUUAUUUAGAAAAUAUUAGAAGGUUCUCUUUCCAAUCACUGAAUAAAAAUGUUAUUUUUAUUAAACAUCUGAAUUUAGAAACUAUAUGCAGAAUAUGCCAAUGGUAGACAGCAUUGUGAAGUCCAGGGCCAAGAAAGGAGGAAACACCUCGUCGUGUCCCAGGCUGGAGGCCCUCCUGAAGGAUCUGUUCCUGGUGAUGUGAUUUCAGCUUUCAUCCACUCCCCUGGCUGGACCCGUCACACUGGGGAUGACAACCUGAACACGGGGAGCUGAAAGUCUCUUCUCUGGCAUCACAGUGAGGGCAGUUCCCUGUCCAAGAAUCAAACCUGUGACCCCUGCAGUGGAAGCAGUCUCAACCACUAGACCGCUAGAUAUGUGGAAUGAUCUUACUAUUCUCAGCACACACUUCAGGCAGCCACCAUCAUAACAACCAGAAAUGCAUAAGGGAUGAGUCCUAUUUUUAUCACCCCCAUUCUCAGGUUGUUAAGCAGUGUCACAGCCCAGAACGUGGUCUGUCUUGGUGAAUGUUGCCGUGAGCUUGAGAGGAAUGCGACGUCUGCUGUCGUUGGAUGAAUUUGUCCGGAGACUGCAUUACAUCCAUUUGAUUGAUGAUGCAGCCCCGAGAUGCAUCCUGGGUUCAGAGGGACAUGGUGGUAACUCUCAUCUGCUGCACAGCCUCACCAGAGGUUUAUUUACAAUGUACAACCCAGACACACCAGCCGCCGCAUACUAAAAGGAUGUCCUAGGUAAGAAAUCAGUGUACAGCAGUCCCAGGAGACCCUCAUUUAUCUUCCAGCCAGUAAAUUCCAUCUCGAUGUUUAAAGGACAGAACUGCCUGAGUCGUCCCCCAAAGCAGGAGGAAACGGUUACAGACCCACCGCUAACCCCUUCUUACCCAGAGUGAAAAGUGAAAGUGCUAGUCUCUCAGUUGUGCCUGACUUUUUUUUUCUUUCUUUCUAAUUUUAUUUUAUUUUUAAACUUUACAUAAUUGUAUUAGUUUUGCCAAAUAUCAAAAUGAAUCCGCCACAGGUAUACAUGUGUUCCCCAUCCCAAACCCUCCUCCCUCCUCCCUCCCCACACCAUCCCUCCGGGCCAUCCCAGUGCACCAGCCCCAAGCAUCCAGCAUCGUGCAUCGAACCUGGACUGGCAACUCGUUUCCUACAUGAUAUUUUACAUGUUUCAUUGCCAUUCUCCCAAAUCUUCCCACCCUCUCCCUCUCCCACAGAGUCCAC